rnacentral:rRNA from 1 species
UACGUAGGGUGCAAGCGUUGUCCGGAAUUAUUGGGCGUAAAGAGCUCGUAGGCGGUUUGUCGCGUCGUCCGUGAAAACUCACAGCUUAACUGUGAGCUUGCGGUCGAUACGGGCAGGCUAGAGUUCGGUAGGGGAGAAUGGAAUUCCUGGUGUAGCGGUGAAAUGCGCAGAUAUCAGGAGGAACACCGGUGGCGAAGGCGGUUCUCUGGGCCUUACCUGACACUGAGGAGCGAAAGCGUGGGGAGCGAACAGG